UCGGUAGAGCAGAGGACUGAAAAUCCUCGUGUCGGUGGUUCGAUUCCGCCCGGAACCA
rnacentral:tRNA from 1 species